ACAGCAGUAGCCACGGUAAUACGAGGGACCCUAGCGUUGUUCGGAAUCAUUGGGCGUAAAGCGGGUGUAGGUGGCUUUGUAAGUCAGGUGUGAAAGCCCAGGGCUCAACCCUGGAAGUGCAUUUGAUACUGCGAAGCUUGAGUGCUGGAGAGGUUACUGGAAUACCUGGUGUAGUGGUGAAAUACGUAGAUAUCAGGUGGAACACCGGAGGCGAAGGCGGGUAACUGGCCAGACACUGACACUCAGACCCGAAAGCGUGGGGAUCAAACAGGAUUAGAUACCCCUGUAGUCCCUGUCUCUUAUAC
rnacentral:rRNA from 1 species